CCUUGAAACAGUCUUAGACUAACCAGCAAAAUUGUGCAUAACAAGUCAAUUCAACAUGAGAGGAAAAUAAACCAGUAAAAGGUUUACAUCAUGUUUAAAAACAACAAUUUUAAGUAAAAAUGUAAUACAAGGAGCAAAAUAAAAUAUUUCUCAUCACUAAGACUACUUCCAAAUGAUGCUUAACGAUUGGCCUUGGCAACUCUCUCAAUUUCGUCCUUUUUCUUGAUCGCAUAGCUGAAAUGAAACAUUUGGUUAGCAAAGAACCAAACAAGGAAAGAUCCAAUAGAAAACAAUUUCAGUACAUUGGAAAAUCCAAGAAUUGAAUAAUGGUGGUAUACCUGUUGGAUGAACCCUUGGCAGCGUUGAUAAGUUCAUCAGCUAAGCAUUCAGCAAUUGUCUUAAUGUUCCUAAAUGCAGCUUCACGGGCACCAGUUGUUAGAAGAUAUAUGGCCUGAUUAACCCGACGAAGAGGUGAGAUAUCCACAGCCUGCCUCCUAACAACUCCAGCAGAUCCAAUUCUAGUUGCAUCUUCUCUAGGACCACUACAUGAGAAGAAUAUAAUUGAACAAAUUAUAUUGAAUAUCCUAAAACUUUAACUGAUAGGGAAAUAAGAUCCAAGCCCCAAUUUCUUUGAAUUAAACAACCUUCUUUACAGUUUGUUUCUCGUUCAAAAAGUUUUCACAGAAUACCAUAAACAGUUCAUUAAUAAACAUUUUGUAUCUCAGCACAUAACAUUGAAAUGAGAAAAUGAAAUGAACUUUUGACAUUAAAAGUAAAAACGUAGAAACAACAUAUUAAACGGGCCCAAACAUAUGUUAGGAAAAACACACAACCAUAACUGAAUCCUACCAAAUUUACAAACAGUAUCAUUAAUUAAGAGAAUGAUCAGAUAGAGCUAAUACAAAAUGCCAUCAUCCAGGCGAUCAAACCAAUAGGGAAAUAAUAAAUCAUCAUUUCAUUCUCAAGAACAAUAAAAAAUUCUCUUAUGACAACAGAUUGAUUUCCUUUACCACAAGAAAAGAUUACAAACUUUAAGCAAUAAACAUCACAAGGGGGAAGAAAAAAAAACAAUUAUCUUUUGCAUCAUUACUACAAAGGGAAAAUAUUUUUAAACAAAUUCGAGAUAUUUGAUUACAAUGUAAAAAAAUUGGGAGAAUGGUCAGAUAGAGCUAAUACAAAAUGCCAUCAUCCAGGCUAUCAAACCAAUAGGGAAAUAAUAAAUCAUCAUUUCAUUCUCAAGAACAAUUAAAAAUUCUCUUAUGACAACAGAUUGAUUUCCUUUACCACAAGAAAAGAUUGCAAACUUUAAGCAAUAAACAUCACAAGGGAAAAAAAACAAACAAUUAUCUUUUGCAUCAUGACUACAAGGGGAAAAUAUUUUUAAACAAACUUGAGAUAUUUGAUUACAAUGUAAAAAAAAAUGAGGAGAAUGAUCAGAUAGAGCUAAUACAAAAUGCCAUCAUCCAGGCUAUCAAACCAAUAGGGAAAAAAUAAAUCAUCACUUCAUUCUCCAGUUCAAACAAUCAAAAGGUGGUUGUAUAAAAACUAAAAACUACUUGAAGAAUGCAUCCAGAUUGCUUUCCUUUUGUACAAGUAAAAAUUACAAACUUUAAUCAAUAAAAAUUUCCAUGCAUUAUUACUACCAAGAUAAGAUAUUUAUUGAAAUGAAAUCCACAGAUUUUAUUACAAUGUGCAAAAUAAGGAGAAUGAUCAGAUAGAGCUAAUACAAAAAUGCCAUCAUCUAGGCAAUCAAACCAAUAGGAAAACAAUAAAUCAUCAUUUCAUUCUCCAGUUCAACCAAUCAACAGCUCCCAAUCUUAACAGUUGAAAUUAGUUUUAACAUGCCAAUUAAUAACCCACCCACCUAUCCUUCUCUAUUAAGUACUAAUCAAACACAACGAGAACAAAACAAACCAUCACAAAAUAUUCAAUAUAUAUUAUUACUACAUGGGAAAUAUUUUCUUAAAACAUAGCCUAUAUAUUUGAUUACUUGUACAAAACAAUUAAGGAUAAUUGUCAGAUAGAGCUAAUACAAAAACACCAUCACCCAGGCAAUCAAACCAAUAGGAAACAGUAAAUCAUCGUUUCAUUCUCCAGUUCAACCAAUCAACAGCUCCAAGAUUUAACAACUAUGAAAAGGUUGCAAUAUACCAAUUAAUAAUAAUUCAACUACCAUACUCUUUCAUGUGAAUAACCAAACACAAUGAGAAUAAACAAACUUCUAGUAAUAGCAUCACAAUUUUGUCAACAAAAAAAAAGUAAUAGCAUCACAAUGAAAAAAAAAAACACAAUUUGUCGUGUAAAUUAUUACUACUGAUGGAAACAUUUUCAUAAAUCAAAGUCCAGGAGAAUGAUCAGAUAGAGCUAAUACAAAUAGGUCAAGUUUGCUACAUCAGAGUUUAUACAACAGCUUCAUGCUUGUAUGAUAUUACCUUUUAAACAUGCAUUGUCAAAAUUCUUUUAGAACAAACACAUAAACCAUCAAAAUAUUCUGGGUGAUUUUUUAUCAUUCAAAAAAAUACAACUGAAAAUACUUGAUCAGCCAUGUAAUUAGUAAUUACAAUUCACAAGUAACCAAAUCAAAGUGACAAAUGAUAAGGAGAAUGGUCAGAUAGAGCUAAUACAAAAAAAUGCCAUCAUUCAGGCAAUCAAACCAAUAGGAAAACAAAUAAUCAUCAUUCCAUUCUCCAAAUCAAGACAUAUUAAGCAGUUACCACAGUAAAAAUUCAACUUCAAAUAAUACUCAAGCAAAUCAACGGUACUUUUCACAGUACAGUAUAUCUUGUUAAAGCUUACUUCACUUCUCAUUGCAGUGAAAAUAACAAAAUGCAAAGGCAUCAUCAUACCUGUUGACGACAGCAUCAACGAUAACUUGAAUUGGGUUCUGGUCAGUUAGCAAAUGAAUGAUCUCCAUGGCAUGCUUGAUGAUCCUAACAGCCAUGAGUUUCUUUCCGUUGUUUCUACCAUGCAUCAUGAGAGAGUUAGUGAGCCUCUCAACAAUGGGACACUGAGCUUUCCUGAAACGCUUCUUUGAGUACCUACCAGCAGUGUGAGGAACAUAUGUUGCAUGUUUGGAUCUUGCUCCAAUGUAAUCCCCAAGAGACAGAUCAGUAAUCUGGUAUAACAAAAAUUGCAAAAUUAAUCACAACAUAUUUUAAUUACUAAAACACAAUGCACACUUCCUAACACAUGAGUUAUCUACCGGCAAGAGAUACUUGAAAUUAAAACAAAUUAUGGGAAUGUUUUCGACUGAUUUUCAUAAGCUCUCCAAUAUAAAUUAUGAAUAUAGCUUAUAACUUAGACCAAAUAAUCAUACUUUAUUAUAUUUUUGCUAUAGAGUUUAGAUUAUAACUGAAAACAAGUUGUUCAUCCAAACAGGGCUUAUUUCUAUAGGAAAAAAAAAAAUCAUGACCUUUUAACUAUUAAAAUAAAUACACUUCCAACCCAACAAUUGAAAAAAAAAAUAAGUGUAAAUUGAAAUGCGUUCUGAGAUUCAGAUUCUACGAUACGAGAUAGCAAACAAUAAUACAUCAAAAGUGAUGGAAAGAAAAGAAUACCUGAAGGUCGUCGAAGCUCCAUUGGUUGAAGAGCUUGACUUCGUUUAGAUUGGGAUCAACUUCGACAGGGAUAACGACGGUUUCUUCAGCCAUGGCUGUGUGAAUAAUUCAAUGAUUAGGGUUAGUUAACGAGAGAGAUUGAGAAGGAAGAAAAAAUGCAGCAGCAGAAGAAAGCUACCUUGUAGAUAGUGCGGCGCGACCGUCAGCUUCUCACUGGUUUUG
rnacentral:lncRNA from 1 species